CCGGCGACCGGCGCACGGGUGCGUAACGCGUAUGCAACCUACCUUUAACAGGGGCAUAACACUGAGAAAUUGGUACUAAUUCCCCAUAACAUUCGAGAAGGCAUCUUUUAUGGUUGAAAAUUCCGAUGGUUAGAGAUGGGCAUGCGUUGUAUUAGCUAGUUGGUGGGGUAACGGCUCACCAAGGCGACGAUACAUAGGGGGACUGAGAGGUUAACCCCCCACACUGGUACUGAGACACGGACCAG
rnacentral:rRNA from 1 species